rnacentral:lncRNA from 1 species
GCUCCGCCUCACAGCUCCUGCUGCUGUGCUGCACCCAGCAGCUCCAAGAUUCCAACCUCUCACGAGUGCCCACCAUCAACCCCAUCUCAGGCCAACCUCGCAGCCAUCAGUCCCCCACAAGGCGCAUCCCAUAUCCCUGCACCCAUCCCAGCACCCAGCCCAGCUCAUCUGCCCAGCCCCUGCUGCCCCACAAAGAGCACAAGCCCCCCCCACUCUGCCUUAACAGCACAGCCAUAUCUCGCAGCCAUCAGUCCACAAAGGCGCAGCCCAGCCCCUUCUUCCCAGCCCAGCUCUCACCAAGCAAAGCCCUGUAAUCCAGGGCUGCUCCGCAAAGGCCCAACCCACUCCACUAGAAAAGGCCCUAACCGACCUCAGCUGCUGGUCGCCCCCGUUGCAACGAUCCGUACCCUCUGAUGUUUUUCUGAAAAAAAAAAAAAAAGAGUGCAAAUGUCGACUUAGUUUAGCAAAUUGAUCUUUAGGUGUUUACGGUGGAUGGCUGACUACUCUCAAGGAGGUUGCCCCCACCCUUACGGUUUUCCAGUUCUGAGCCUAUUUCCUAUCUCUCUUUCGCAUUCUCAACCGGCUCAAGUGUCACGAUGUGUUGUUGAAUGGAAAACUUUCAUGCUUGGUCUCGUUCCGUUUCACAGCUUUACAUUGGUGGAAAACGCAAGACCCGUUGGAUUCUGGGAAAGGAACCAAAACCUGUUGACUCUGAUCCCAAGUUUGAUGAGUGGGUUUCAGAUAACUGUAUAUUUUGGGCUGGAUGUUCAACUGAUGGAAGAUCGAGUCAUCACAUUUUAUGUAUCACGACACCGUCCAUGGUUGUGGACUUGCUUUGACCCAGAUUAGCUCAUGCUGCUCGUAAUGAGUCUCGGAUCUUUGAGCUCUACCCGAGAGAUCUCUUCAUGCCUCUCAACUACCCUUAGGGCUUCUCGGUUGCUGAUUAUUUUGGAUAUCUUCAGACUGAUGGGAGGAAUUAGCCCGUACGGAGCCACUCAGUGAUUUUCUAGUGAUGGGGCAGUGGAGUUCCAAACGCCUUGACCGUCGACAAUACAUUCAGUUUUUGAUGGGAUUAAAAUCUAAUUUGAGACUCUUGCGCACUCAGAUUUUGAACACAUCGCUCUACCUUCCCUAUAUGAGGCGUUUUUUGGCUAUUGUGGAUGGUGAUGAGCGGAGGGCGUCGUCUUUUACCAUCCUCUUUUGAUCUCCUAUUACUGUUCCGACUCAAGAAAAGGGCUUUUGCUGCUUCUUCAGGGACUCACCUAUAUUUGUCAAGCACUGUCGUAAGCCGGUCCCCCUCAUUGACCCGCGUUUUAUUCUCCAUCAUGAGUUUGAGCAUUCAUUUCCCCGGCCUCGUGGGGGUGGUCGUGGGGGUGGACGUAGUGGAGGCCCGUGCAGAGGCCCCCCUCGGACUGGGCUAUUGCUGAGGUGGAAUCCAUACCUACUGAUUUACUGACUUCAAACAACUUCAGCUGCCAAAUUGCCUCACUACAGUCACUUUGGGAUUAGCUCCUACCUUCCCACCUCUGGCCCCACAGCGCUAUAGUUGCAAGACUUCCUACCGCUCUCAUGGUAGUCCAGUCACCCCACUUGGAUUCGGAUUUCUGGCAAAUAUCAUAAUGACUGUGAGUUUGCUACAUUUACCUCUCCCUUACUUUUUGUUAAUCAGUCGUUUUGUAUUGCUGAUGGAUCAUCCUUCCCAUUCGUAGUCAGGGGCGAACGCCUGCUUAUCCUCCAUAUUACCCUUUCAUCAGUGUAUUAUAUACCCCAUUUUGCUAUAAUCCUUCUUUCUAUUAGUCGUCUUGCCAAAAGAUCUUAAUUGUGCUGUUGUUUUCUUACCAUCUCGUUGCUUCUUACAGGACCUGAUUUCGAAGAAGAUUUUUGGCAGGGGUAUGAGCAAGAUGGACUAUACUACUUUGGGGAUCCUUUAACCAUCUCUACGCUUGUCGUCUAGUCCUUUCAUGUUUUCCUCCACCAGGUUUAGAGUCCGCCUUUUUAAAGUUCUUCUGGUUUACAGUCGUCUGUUUUUUUCUUUCGAACCUUAAAUUUGUGGCAUGCUCGUUAGGGCAUGUUAACUUUUCAAUAUUUAUGUGGCUUUUUUCUCCUUCUUUUAAUAAAGCUGUCAAAAACUUAAUUUUAAAUGUGCCAUUGUGUGAGUAUCUAAACAUACUCGUAACCUUACCUCUUAUAUUCCUCGUACGUAUCGUGCCCCCAUGUGCCUUGACCUUAAUUCACUCAGAUGUAUGGGCCGUCUCCAGUUACCGCUAUCUCUCACACCGCUAUAUGUAACCUUCAUCGAUGAUUACACUCGUUGUACUUGGGUUUUAAUCCUAUCGUAAUAAAUCUGAGGUCUUUUCUCACUUUAUCGGGCAUUUUUUACAAAUGAUCAAAAACCUAAUAUAAUACUGUUGUGCGUACCAUUCGGUCCAAUAAUGGUCGGGAGUAUAUCACGAGAUGAGUUUUGUGCUGAACUUUAAAUAAAUGUGGUAUAUACUCCAGCAACCACGUGUCCUACACUCCUGAGCAUAAUGGGGUAAGCUGUAGCGUCAAAAAUCGUCAUAUUAUGUCAUGGUUCGGUGUCUCUUGGCGGGGUAUGGGAGUUCCUAAUAUUUCUGGCACAUGGCUGUUCUCACUGCUACCCCUACCUACCUUACUUAAUCGGACCCCCCAAUCGGGUCCUUACAAGGCAAGGCUCCUCUUCCAUUCCUUCAGCCGACUAUACCCCCUUUUUCCCCAUUCUUCUCGCGUCCUUUGGAUGCACAUGUUUUUGUCCAAAUUGGAGCCCCACCCGUCCAAUUGGAUGAAAGGUUGUACGUUGUAUCUUCCUCGGGUCUUCCCCAAUGUCCAAGGGGUAAUAGGUGUUAUGACCCUGUCACUGUCAUAUGUUUUCACUCGUUAGAUGUCCACUUUUUUGGAACUGUUUCCUUUUUUCUCUGAUUCUACUCCUUCUCCGGUCCUGACUUGAGAUAUUUGCCGGCAGAUAACCCUAUACCUCCUCGUUCGCUUCCCAUAACUUGAGCCUUCUCCCACUAUACCGAAUGACUCCCUAACCGGCCGAUCGCUCUCAGAACCUAGUCCCCCUUGCGCUCAUUCUCCCUUGCCGGCAUUCUCUGAGUCAGGUAUGUCGUCCUCCUUUAGGUGUCUGAUCCCCCCCUCCUCGAUAUCCCCCUCCGUUGUGCGUCGCCCCCAUCCGGCGUUUUUCUUCUUGCAAUAGUACAAUCAUCCUAUUGCACAAUAUUUCCCUUUGUUCUUCCACACGGUCUUUCAGAUUCCCUAUAAGUCUUUUCUUAGUCAGGUUGAUUCGAUUUCGAUUCCUCGCUCAUCCAUGAACUCAUCCAGAAUCCUCUAUGGGUGUCUGCUAAGUGAAGGCUGAUAUGGAGGCUCUUCAACACAAUCGACUUGGGAUUUGUUGCUUUGCCGAGGGGAGGAGCGACUGUUGGUUGUAAGUGGGUGUUUCAGUGGUCAAGUAUUUGGCGGAUUGCUCAUUGAUCGAUAUAGGCUCGUCUUGUUUGCUAGGGGCUUUAACGCAGAUUCCAGGUAGGGACUUUGGUGCUACUUUUGCUCCAUUGCCAAAUUAAACACCAUUCGUCUUCUUUGUUUCCCUCGCUGCAAAUCGUACUCAUGGCUCUUCACCAAUUGGAUGUCAAAAAUGCUUCUUAAUGGUGACCUCUCUGAGACUAUAUAUAUGGACCACCCUCCGUUUUCGUGCUCAAGGGGGAGUACUCGGGAAAGUUUGUCGCUCCGAAAAUCAUUUAUGCCUUAAACAGUCUCCUCGGUGCUUGGUUUUUCCACCGUUUCAGUGAAGUAAAGUCGUGUCUAUGGGUUUAAGUAUGUCACUCGAUCAUACUUGCUUCUUCGUCGCCAUGUCUCGGGUGGGUGCUUAUUUAUCCCAGUUUACCUUGGAUGAUUAUUAUCACGGGAGACGACGCUUUAAGGCAUUGUUUCAGUGAAAUGUUGGGCUCAGGAAAAUUGUUUGACAUUAAAGAUCUAGGUCCUCUUCGUUAUUUUCUUGGAUUGAGGUUGCUCGGGUCUCGCCAUGGUAUCUCUCUAUCUCAGCGGAAGUAUUCUCUUGACCUUCUUUCAGGAUACGAGCAUGCCUUGGAUGUAAGACCUGCUCUACACCUAUGGUACCGACUUGAAGAUUCAGCCGAGUCAGGGGAAUUAUUAUCCAGAUCCAUCUAAUCUAUCGCGACUUGUGGGUCGUCUCAGUUACUUGACGAAUACAAGACCUGAUCUCACAUUCCCUGUUCAGUAUUGUAAAGUCAGUUAGGCACUCGCGCCCGCGUACCUCUCAUCUAGAUGCUUUGUAUCACAUUCUCGAUACCUUAAGUCUUCCUGGUCUUGGACUGUUUCUCUAAUCCGGAGUCCAGGUCGGGGCUCUCAUGCUUUACAGAUGCUGACUAUGCGGGAUCCUAAGGUGAAGACUUCUUACUUCUCUGGUUUUUUUUUGUGCUUUUUCAUUAGUCAUCUCAUAUCUUGGAAAAGUAAGAAGCAAGCAGUUGUCUCUUUCGAAGAGGAAAGGAAGUCUUCUGUCUUCUGCCGAAGCUGAGUAUCGUGCCAUGGCUCAGGAACUAGCGAGAUUCUUUGGCUUCGAUUCACUUCUAACCGAGUUAGGUUUCUUCCUUAUGACAGAUUCAUCCUUACACUUGUUUUGUGACAAAAGUCAGUUAUUCUGCUAUCCUCUGACUCAGUUUUUUCAUGAGAGAACUAGCCAGUUGAAGUCGAUAUUCCGUUCUUUCGGGAAAAAUUUUCGUUCAGAGUUAUCACUCCCAGCUUUGUGUUUUCAUCAUCUGCUCAACUCUGAUAUGUUCCUAAGGCCACUUGGACCCUCAUUGCUGAAGUCAAUCUCUUGUCAAGCUGGGGCUCGUCUAUAUAUUCACCUCAGCUUGAGGGGGAGUGUUGUAAAUACAAAGGUAAUGUUAUGAGGUCAAAAUUUGUCUUUGUCCCAUUUAGGGUUUCUAGUCUUUUGCCUAUUAUAAGGACUCUAUUUUUGUUAUUGCAAGCUGAGAUACAACCAUUCUUCUCCUUUAAAUUAUUGCUAAGCAAAAGCCAGAACACCAUAUUAUUGCUUGUACAAGGAUAACUAAACCCUAACUAUUACUGAUCUGAGAUGUUUUAAAAUGAUAACUUCGGAUGUUUUCGACGUUGAGCUUCUUGAAAUUGCUAAGGUUUCUGGCAGCUUUCCCCAGUUGAAGGCCUUGUACUUGGCACAUGGUGGUUCUGGUGAUUCAGCAGCUCCUCUAGAGGCUUCACCAUGGUGGUGUGUGCUGAGUUGAAGAAGAAUGGAAUUGAAAACCUUUCCCUCUCAUUGUUCACCAUCACCCUGUGCUCCACACACUCAUACUUGUCAUUGCUCCAGACCUACACAAAUAUUUAAGUCAUAUGUUAUGUGCACUCGGGUACCGUUAUCGGGUAAUGAUAUGAGUCCAUUAGGGUAUUGAACUAUGUGUUCAAAAUUGAGUAUGAGUAGGGAGCAUAUGCUGAUCAGUUAUUUGUAUUAUAUAUAUGUAUAUGCACUCCACUUUACAGAAGAGAAGAAAGGUGAACAAACACAAGCGAUUGCGGAGAAAAAAUGAAACAAACAGGGUGAGAGUAUUGGUUUAUCAAUAGGCAAGUUUACUACGGUGUCGUAGGGUGCUUGGUGCAUUUGAUGGCACACAUGUGAGUUUUUGACUCGGACCAAAUUCGUCGGGCGGAGGUUGAGUGGAGGUUUCUGAUCAAGACCCAUUGACCGACUGUCUGGCAGAUGUCGAUCGGUUUGGAUUCGUAUGUGACGCGAUUUUAGCCGACUUUGACUAUUUGGACUUCGAUUUCCUAAACUCUAUUUUGGUAUAUUCCUUGUUGAUUUGGUAUCAAUGUGGUUUUGAAAGAAUUCUUUGACAAUAAAUUUGAGAAGACUCUCUCUUCUUCGGUGGACUUCUUAGUUCUUUUGGGGGAACCCAUGGGGGCACUUUAGUUAGAUCUUUGAUCUCCCUGAUUGUGAGAGGGUUUUUGGUAUGGUUCAAAUUAGGUUUGGGGAAGAAUUUGUAUUUUGGGUUUAAUGAGGCUUUUGAGAGGGGGUUUUCUAAAUAAUUCUCCCAGCUCUUUGGAGCAUUAGUUUGAUUCGUUAAUGAAAGUCUUUACUCAUUUGACUAGCCCACUAAAAAGGUAUUUUACCCGCUCAACCCAUCCUGCCCAUUCUCUCAAACCACGGUUUGUAGCACAGAUAGGCUCAUGUUGGAGCGGGUCGAGUCGUUGGCGGUUUGGCAGGUAUUUUGCACAACCUAGUUUUAACCCAUUUCUUUUGUGCACGGACUAAUUCUUAUUCAAAUUUACGUAGCUGUGAUUGCAACUUUGUGACCGAUAUAGGUAAAUUUUGCAAUAUUUGGAAGUUAAGCUUGAAUGAAAGUUACCUGAAUGAUAUCACCCACAUUAACAAUGUAAGCAUCAGGUGUACGCUUAACUCAGAUCCAUUCUCCAUCUGUUUUUUGCUUCACUUCCAGGGCUCCAAUGUCAUCCUGAGCAAGGACGGUCAGGGCACCAGCAUACUUGUGUCGACCCACACCAAGGGCCAGGUAAGGAAUGUGGCAUCGCGGGUAGUAAUUGAGCCGCAUAAAGCUGGUUUGGUCUUUGAAGAAUUCGGUAAAACAUUUCGCAGGCAAACCUAAGCUCAGGGAGAUAAGUUCCAGCAGCUUGUAGGACAGUUUUUUUCUCGAGUGUAAUCUGCACAUGGCCUCCCUGUUCGAAGACAGGCCAUGAGGUCAAGCUUGCCGUAAUAUUACGUGCACAGAAAAAACAAUUCCAAAAUCAUCAGUUGAGGUGGAGACCAUGCUCAAAAUGAAUCUGAGCAAUACAUAUCGUCCUUCUCGUUUCACCAGAUUCUCAAUUUCAUUUGCAACCAUUUUGACCUUGAUGCAAUAUGCCAGCAAGUGAUGAGUGUGAAAAUAAAUUUAGGGAGUGGAUUUAAAAGUGCCCUUGUAGAUUUAGUUAGAGAUUGGGUGAUUAUAUCAUUUUGCCCGUGGAAAAAGGUCGAUUAAACCGCAUAUGACAAAUUUCUGUCCAAUUACUCAAACAACAAUAUUGAUUGGACUUGUUCGAUACCAAAAGCAAAAUUGAAGUUUAAAAUUGUUGCAAUCGAAUAUAGAUCAAAAUUGAGAAUUUGGAGAAACUUACAGGGACAAUUUCUGUAAUUUGCCCUUUUAUUUUCUUUACAAUUCCAUUUUUAAUUUCUGUGCGUAGAUUGAAAUAUGCAAUGAUCACGGAAAAUCAAGAACAGAUUAACCUAAAGUUUGGAGAGUAUACGGGCCACCUGAUUGUGUAACAUCUUCAAUUCUUUGUCGUCGGGUUCAUGAGAAGCCGGUAUCACCGUUGGAAUUUCGACAACAAAGUCGAAAACUUCUUUCCAGUCCCUCACGUUCUUCGUGUGCUCGCGGUCAUAAUAACCCAUCGGAUUCAGCUCACCCCUCCUGACCUUGCUCUUCUCCUCCAGAGACUGGGUAAAGAACUUCCCAGACGCGGAUU